AAAUGGCCAUGCAUUCUUUCCCUGCCCUAAAGAAGUGGGAUUUAUUUCUCCACACCAUGCUUCUUAAAGUAGGGGAUUUGAAAUAAUAAUAAUAAUAAUAAAUAUUUCACUACUUUUUGAAUGCAGGUUGACCACAGGAUUUGCUUUGGCCAAUGAAACAUUUUGGCAUAUAUGAGCAAGCAGAGAUUUAAAAAACAGUUGCAUGUUGGAACUUAGAAUGAUCUCGUAAUCCUGUAGCCAUGUGAACAAGCCGGGGCUAGCCUGAUACAGGAUGAGAGACACAGGAUUCAGUCACCCUCAUCACCACAGUUGACAGCCAGCCUACCACCAGACAGACAUACCAGACGCAGUGGCUCAUGCCUGUAAUCCCAGCAAUUUGGGAGGCCGAAGCAAGUGGAUCAUCUGAGAUCAGGAGUUCGAGACCAGCCUGGCUAACAUGGAAAUUUCAUCUCUACUAAAAAUACAAAAAAUUAGCCAAGCAUGGCAGCACGUGCCUGUAGUCCCAGCUACUUGGGAGGCUGAGCCAGGAGAAUUGCUUGAACCUGGGAGGUGGAGGUUGCAGUGAGCCAAGAUCACACCACUGCACUCCAGCCUGGGCAACAGAGUGAGAGGAUCUCAAAA
rnacentral:lncRNA from 10 species